rnacentral:rRNA from 10 species
AAGGAUCACAUAGAUCUUAAACUGAAGAGUUUGAUCAUGGCUCAGAUUGAACGCUGGCGGCAGGCCUAACACAUGCAAGUCGAGCGGUAACAG